GAGACUCUGUGCGCGUGCAUAUCAAUAAGCGGAGGAAAAGAAACUAACAAGGAUUCCCUUAGUAACGGCGAGUGAAGCGGGAAGAGCUCAAAUUUGAAAUCUUCAAGGUUCUACCUUGACGAAUUGUAGUUUAAAGAAGUGUUUUCUGUUAGAUGAGUAGCAAAAGUUCCUUGGAAUGGGACAUCAUAGAGGGUGAGAAUCCCGUAUUUGGUUAUUCAUUCUAGCUUUGUGAUACACUUUCAAAGAGUCGGAUUGUUUGGGAAUGCAGUCCAAAAUGGGUGGUAAAUUUCAUCUAAAGCUAAAUAUUGGCGAGAGACCGAUAGCGAACAAGUACCGUGAGGGAAAGAUGAAAAGAACUUUGAAAAGAGAGUUAAACAGUACGUGAAAUUGUCAAAAGGGAAGCGUUUGACACCAGUGUUGUUUUUCCGAAGAUCAAUUACGAAUGGCUUGAUUUUGUGUUGUAUUGACCUUAUCAGCUUUCUUCACUUUUUUCGAGUCUUUCUUAAUGCACUUUUCGGUUAACAAGUCAACAUCAAUUUCUUUUGUUGUAAAAGAGUAUUCGGAAGGUGGCUUUCUUUUCGGAGAAAGUGUUUAUAGCCCUAUACUUCUACAAUCGGAGAGAUUGAGGUCUGCAGCGUAGAUCCUUCGGGGUUAGAUACACUUGUGCUAAGUUGUAGCUUUUCAUAGACAACUUGUUGACUAUGUUUAGUCAUUGUGGCUUACCUCGCUUAGUGCUAUUUUACCUACGCUUAGGAUGUUGAAUCUGUGCGAGACUAC
rnacentral:rRNA from 1 species